rnacentral:lncRNA from 1 species
CGGAGUAGGUUCGUAAAAAAAAUCGAAAAAAAUAUAAAAAAUUUUAAGUUGUAAUUUUUUUUUGUAUUUCAUCUAUUGUAAUUGAAAAAAAAAAGGAAAUUGAAAAAAAAAUUGAAAAAAAAGGUACGAAGUAAAAAAAAUUCAAAAAAAAAAAGAAGUGAGCAAAAAAAAUCAAGUAAAAAAAAGUGAAAAGUCUUUUUGAGAUUAUUUUGUUAUUAUUUCUUGUUACUUCCGAACAUCCAUUCAUUCUACCAUUUCUUCUACCCCCCAAAAAAAUGCCACACAUACUUUGAUUUUUUUUCUUUGUUUAGCCUACCCUACACCCGACGUUAUCCUUUGUAACCCAUUUGAAGCCGACCCUCUAAGCCGCAAUAAGUCUUCUUGAAACAAAAUACGAAUUCACGAG